rnacentral:rRNA from 1 species
UAUCUGGUUGAUCCUGCCAGUAGUCAUAUGCUUGUCUCAAAGACUAAGCCAUGCAUGUCUCAGUAUAAGGCAUCUCACGUCGAAGCUGCGAAUGGCUCAUUAAAACAGUUAUAGUAUACCUGCUGGUCGCUAGUUAUACGGCAUACCUGUAGCAAUUCUAGAGCUAAUACGUGCGUAAAGACCCGACUUCUUGGAAGGGUUAUAUUUGUUAGAUCCAGAACCAGCUCUCUUGAGAGAUUUCGGAUGAUUCAUAAUAAACGAACGGAGCGUAGGGCUUGAGCCGACGCUGUAGCAGUGAAGUUUCUGACCUAUCAGCUAUCGACGGUAGGGUAUUGGCCUACCGUGGCAUUGACGGGUAACGGGGAAUUAGGGUUCGAUUCCGGAGAGGGAGCCCGAGAAACGGCUACCACAUCUAAGGAAGGCAGCAGGCGCGCAAAUUACCCAAUCCUGACUCAGGGAGGUAGUGACAAGAAAUAACAAAGCAGGCCCCUCUGGGGUUUUGCUAUUGGAAUGAGUAGAAUUUAAACCUCUUUACGACUAUCAAUUGGAGGGCAAGUCUGGUCCAGCAGCCGCGGUAAUUNCAGCUUCAAUAGCGUAUAUUAAAGUUGUUGCGGUUAAAAAGCUUGUAGUUGGAUUUCUGUCGAGGGUGGGUCGGUCCCGCACUAUUGUGCGUGUAUCUGGCUCGGGCUUUGCAUUCNUCUUGGGGAANC